UGGGGAAGUUUUCCGUCAAUGGGCGAAAGCCUGACGGAGCAAUGCCGCGUGGAGGUGGAAGGCCUACGGGUCGUCAACUCCUUUUCUCGGAGAAGAAACAAUGACGGUAUCUGAGGAAUAAGCAUCGGCUAACUCUGUGCCAG
rnacentral:rRNA from 1 species